GGUAAUACAUAUGGGGCGAGCGUUGUCCGAAUUUAUUGGGUGUAAAGGGUGCGUAGGCGGAUGUUCAAGUUGGUUGUGAAAUCCCACGGCUUAACUGUGGAACUGCAACCAAAACUAAACAUCUAGAGUACUGGAGAGGAAAGCGGAAUUUCUAGUGUAGCGGUGAAAUGCGUAGAUAUUAGAAGGAACACCAAAGGCGAAGGCAGCUUUCUGGACAGAGACUGACGCUGAGGCACGAAAGCGUGGGUAGCAAACAGGAUUAGAUACCCUGGUAGUCCACGCCGUAAACAAUGGAUACUAGACGUAAGCGGGAGAACCGUUUGUGUCGUAAGCUAACGCGAUAAGUAUCCCACCUGGGGAUACGACCGCAAGGUUNAAACUCAAAGGAAUUGACGGGGGCCCGCACAACCAGUGGAGUAUGUGGNUUAAUUCG
rnacentral:rRNA from 1 species